CAACAUUUCCUCUCCACAGGUACAUUUACCUGAUUGUCUUCAUAUUUAGGAUGAGAAUCUACUGACAAAGUGUGUUAAAAUGGCUGCUGGGGGAGGAACUUCACUUCUGGGAGUGAUAAUAUGGCUGCCCCCAUACAGAAUAAGCAUGUGGCAGAGACUAGCAGCCUCAUGGAAAGAGAGAGAGAGAGAAAAAAAAGCAUGGAAUGAAGAAAGAGCUGUACUCACUAUUCUGCGGAUGAGGUCACUGUGUACAUACAUUACAUUACUUAUCCUGUACUGAUCCUGAGUUAU